rnacentral:lncRNA from 1 species
UUAUUUUAAAGCUACGGUUAUUGACAUCUGUUUUUUUUUUUUUUUUGGUAAUCAACUGUUUGCAGACAGAAAUUGCCAGAUUAUAGUUCCCACUUUGAAAGCAAAAAGAAAUUUGAAUACACAAAGAAAGAAAAAGGAAACAGAAUAAACAAUCACCUUCACGUGUAAAUGAAAUAUAAAUUCUCUUCGGGAAAUGAAGAACAGAUAGAUCCUUAUUUUGACAUGAGAAAAAGAAAAACUAUGAUGUAUUCUUUAUAAGAAUAAUUAUAUUACAUAUAAAAUUCUCAAAUGAGAAUUACAAUAAAUUUCUGACAAUGUUAGAAUCGAGAAAUUAAAGAGAUGAAGAAAAUGAAACAAAUACAAAAACAAGAACAAAAAAUAUGUAACAAGAUGCAUAUGGAUCCAACAAAAAAGAUUAUAAUAUAAUCUCAUCAACAUAUAUAGUAUAAUAUAAUCUCCAUAAUUAAUUAUAAUUAUUUCUUGGUAACCUGUUCUUGUUAUAUUUAACCUUGAACCAAUUAGCACUAGCACUGGCUCCUUCUUUAACUUUCCUCAUUCCUACAGAAGCUGCUAUUUUUGUUUUCUCCAUUCCUACUUCAAAUUUCUCACUUACCCUACGAGAAAGUUUCGGUUUAUUGCCGAGUCGUUUUGGAUCAGCAGGCUGAGGAUUUUUAGUUUUGGUAUUUGAUUCCCAUGCACUUUCAAGACUCAUUGUUUUGAAUAUAUUAUGAAUUUUUUCACAUUUUUUUUUCCUUCAAAGGAGAAGGGGUGGGGAAGGAAGAAAAUUCUUGUUGGGAAUAGUUUUUUUCCUUUGAUUAAUUUGUUGGUGAAGAAGUUGAGAUCUCUUUUUAUAUGGACAAAUGGAUGGCUUAUGUUAUGGUUGUUUGGUUGAAUGUACACUCCUCAAAUUGAUGUUUCUUCUCAUUGAAGAAAAAAAAAAGGAUGAUUUUUGUGUGAUUUUCA